UACAGAGGGUGCGAGCGUUGUUCGGAAUUAUUGGGCGUAAAGGGCGCGUAGGCGGUGCGGUAAGUCACCUGUGAAAUCUCCUGGCUCAACUGGGAGCUUGCAGGCGAAACUACGUGGCUGGAGUGUGGCAGAGGAAGGUGGAAUUCCACGUGUAGCGGUGAAAUGCGUAGAGAUGUGGAGGAACACCGAUGGCGAAGGCAGCCUUCUGGGCCAACACUGACGCUCAUGCACGAAAGCGUGGGGAGCAAACAGG
rnacentral:rRNA from 1 species